rnacentral:lncRNA from 1 species
CUGUUUAAUGAGCUCUUCUUAUUCUGCACCAUACAUUGCACAAUGCUUUUGUGUCCACACUCUCUUUAUUCUUUGCAAGAAACUUACCUGGUAAGGAUUGUUAUUUUCCAUUUACAAUGGGGAUCCAGAGGAGCUGAGACUGUGUGAUGGGAUUUCAGGGUCCAAACCCAAACCCAGUGAUUUCAGUCACAGNCUGCCCCUCCGUGUGGUGAGCCCCUUGGCCCUGGAACAAGGAAAUAGGUCAGGUUUCCUGUUCACUGUUUCGCUUGAGGAGGCGAGUGAGUCACUGAAGCAAGAACCAGCUUUGUGGGCUUCCUGUUCGGCCUACCUUCUCAGAAGAGCCUGGGACAGAUUGUACUUACUGAUAAGUCGGCCCAGCUGGGUCUGCAUGAUCAGUCUGAGAAGCUGACCGAGUUUGCCUAAGGGCUAAGCCAAAAACCGCUUCCUGCUGCAGAAAACUGCGUGUGUGUGUGUGUGCUUUAGCUUGGGUUUGGGCGGAUAUAUAAGGGACAAGAGAUGAAUAAAGAGAGAGACUCCUGGAUGAAGAACCUCGGUG